GAUGAACGCUGGCGGCGUGCCUAAUACAUGCAAGUCGAGCGAACAGACGAGGAGCUUGCUCCUCUGACGUUAGUGGCGGACGGGUGAGUAACACGUGGAUAACCUACCUAUAAGACUGGGAUAACUUCGGGAAACCGGAGCUAAUACCGGAUAAUAUAUUGAACCGCAUGGUUCAAUAGUGAAAGACGGUUUUGCUGUCACUUAUAGAUGGAUCCGCGCCGCAUUAGCUAGUUGGUAAGGUAACGGCUUACCAAGGCAACGAUGCGUAGCCGACCUGAGAGGGUGAUCGGCCACACUGGAACUGAGACACGGUCCAGACUCCUACGGGAGGCAGCAGUAGGGAAUCUUCCGCAAUGGGCGAAAGCCUGACGGAGCAACGCCGCGUGAGUGAUGAAGGUCUUCGGAUCGUAAAACUCUGUUAUUAGGGAAGAACAAAUGUGUAAGUAACUACGCACGUCUUGACGGUACCUAAUCAGAAAGCCACGGCUAACUACGUG
rnacentral:rRNA from 1 species